rnacentral:rRNA from 1 species
AUUGAACGCUGGCGGCAGGCUUAACACAUGCAAGUCGAGCGAGCGGCGGACGGGUGAGUAGUGUAUGGGAAAGUGCCUGAUGGAGGCGGAAGACGACGGUAACAUGUAGAUAAUAGCGCAUAACACCCGAUGUGCCCUCGUGGGAUGAGCUAGUAGGUGGGGUAAUGGCUCACCUAGGCGACGAUGCGUAGCUGGUCUGAGAGGAUGAGCAGCCACACUGGAACUGAGACACGGUCCAGACUCCUACGGGAGGCAGCAGUGGGGAAUAUUGCACAAUGGGCGCAAGCCUGAUGCAGCCAUGCCGCGUGUGUGAAGAAGGCCUUCGGGUUGUAAAGCACUUUCAUCGAGGAGGCGUUACUCGCAGAAGAAGCACCGGCUAACUCCGUGCCAGCAGCCGCGGUAAUUC